UGUGCCAGCAGCCGCGGUAAUUCCAGCUCCAAUAGCGUAUAUUAAAGUUGUUGCGGUUAAAAAGCUCGUAGUUGGAUUUCUGUCAACGAGUGGCGCUCCGCCCCUUGUGGUGAGUAGUCGUCAUGCCGUUGGCAUCUUUCUGGGGAGUGUAUCUGCACUUCAUUGUGUGGUGCAUAAGCCAGGACAUUUACUUUGAGGAAAUGAGAGUGUUUCAAGCAGGCGCACGCCGUGAAUACGUUAGCAUGGAAUAAUAGCAUCGGAUCUCGCUCCAAAGCUGUUGGUUUCUUGGGUCGAGAUAAAGGUGAAUAGGGAUUGUUGGGGGCAUUCGUAUUUAACUGUCAGAGGUGAAAUUCUUGGAUUUGUUGAAGACGGACUACUGCGAAAGCAUCUGCCAAAGAUGUUCUCAUUGAUCAAGAACGAAAGUUAGGUGAUCGAAGACGAUCAGAUACCGUCCUAGUCUUAACCAUAAACUAUGCCGACUGGAGAUAGGGGGUCGUUAAAUUGGUGACGCCUUCUGCAUCUUGAGAGAAAUCAAAGUCUUUGGGUUCCGGGGGGAGUAUGGUCGCAAGGCUGAAACUUAAAGGAAUUGACGGAAGGGCACCACCAGGAGUGGAGCCUGCGGCUUAAUUUGACUCAACACGGGGAAACUUACCAGGUCCAGACAUAGUGAGGAUUGACAGACUGAUAGCUCUUUCGAGAUUCUAUGGGUGGUGGUGCAUGGGCCGUUCUUAGUUGGUGGAGUGAUUUGUCUGGUUAAUUCCGUUAACGAACGAGACCUUAACCUGCUAAAUAGGCUCCAGAAUCUUCGGUUCCAGGAGGCCUUCUUAGAGGGACGUCGCGUGUCUAACGCUAGGAAGUGUGAGGCAAUAACAGGUCUGUGAU
rnacentral:rRNA from 1 species